rnacentral:rRNA from 1 species
GUCGAGAAUCUUCCGCAAUGGGCGCAAGCCUGACGGAGCGACGCCGCGUGGAGGACGAAGGCCUUCGGGUUGUAAACUCCUGUCACGAGUUAAGAAGGAUGCGCGACGAACAGUGGUGCAUCUUGACGUAAGCUCGAGAGGAAGCACUGGCUAACUCUGUGCCAGCAGCCGCGGUAAUACAGAGAGUGCGAACGUUGUUCGGAAUCACUGGGCUUAAAGCGCACGUAGGCGGCAUCGUAAGUGUCUGGUGAAAUCCCACGGCUCACCCGUGGAACGGCCGGGCAUACUGCGGUGCUCGAGUGUGGUAGGGGAGAGCGGAACUCCUGGUGGAGCGGUGAAAUGCGUAGAUAUCAGGAGGAACACCGGUGGCGAAGGCGGCUCUCUGGUCCACAACUGACGCUGAGGUGCGAAAGCUAGGGGAGCAAACGGGAUUAGAAACCCGGGUAGUCC